rnacentral:tRNA from 1 species
UUAAAUGAAACCAAAAAUAGAGGUAUAUUACUGUUAAUAAUAUAAUUGAAUAAUAUUCCAUUUAAA